UACGUAGGCAGCAAACGUUGUUCGGAAUUACUGGGCGUAAAGAGUGUGUAGGCGGCUUUGUAAAGUUCUGUGUGAAAUCUCCCGGCUCAACUGGGAGGGUGCGCCGAAUACUGCAAGGCUUGAGUACUGGAGAGGAUAGCGGAAUUCCUGGUGUAGCGGUGAAAUGCGUAGAUAUCAGGAGGAACACCGGCGGUGUAGACGGCUAUCUGGACAGUAACUG
rnacentral:rRNA from 1 species